UACGAAGGGGGCUAGCGUUGCUCGGAAUCACUGGGCGUAAAGGGUGCGUAGGCGGGUCUUUAAGUCAGGGGUGAAAUCCUGGAGCUCAACUCCAGAACUGCCUUUGAUACUGAAGAUCUUGAGUUCGGGAGAGGUGAGUGGAACUGCGAGUGUAGAGGUGAAAUUCGUAGAUAUUCGCAAGAACACCAGUGGCGAAAGCGGCUCACUGGACCAUAACUGACGCUGAGGCGCGAAAGCUAGGGGAGCAAACAGG
rnacentral:rRNA from 1 species